UUUCCGUAGGUGAACCUGCGGAAGGAUCAUUAGUGAUUGAAUAUGUUAGCGGACCUCUUCGGAGUCCCUAGCAUCAAAUCAUAUCCAUAACACCUGUGAACUGUAAGGCUGUCUUGAAAACGAAAGUGAUUAGAGCGCCUGCCCAUUUUAUACAAACAUUAAAGUAACAAACGUAGUCUUAUUAUAAUCUAAUAAAACUUUCAACAACGGAUCUCUUGGCUCUC
rnacentral:misc_RNA from 1 species